AGAGUUUGAUCCUGGCUCAGGAUGAACGCUAGCUACAGGCUUAACACAUGCAAGUCGAGGGGCAGCAUUAGGUAGCAAUACUGAGAUGGCGACCGGCGCACGGGUGCGUAACGCGUAUCCAACCUUCCCGUUACUCUUGGAUAGCCCUCCGAAAGGGAGAUUAAUACAAGAUGGUGUUUCAAAUUCGCAUGUAAAUGAAGCUAAAGAUUUAUCGGUAACGGAUGGGGAUGCGUUCCAUUAGCUUGUUGGCGGGGUAACGGCCCACCAAGGCAACGAUGGAUAGGGGUUCUGAGAGGAAGGUCCCCCACACUGGAACUGAGACACGGUCCAGACUCCUACGGGAGGCAGCAGUGAGGAAUAUUGGUCAAUGGUCGAGAGACUGAACCAGCCAAGUAGCGUGAAGGAUGAAGGUUCUAUGGAUUGUAAACUUCUUUUAUAAGGGAAUAAAACCGCCUACGUGUAGGUGCUUGUAUGUACCUUAUGAAUAAGCAUCGGCUAACUCCGUGCCAGCAGCCGCGGUAAUACGGAGGAUGCGAGCGUUAUCCGGAUUUAUUGGGUUUAAAGGGAGCGUAGACGGGAGAUUAAGUCAGUUGUGAAAGUCUGAGGCCCAACCUUAAAAUUGCAGUUGAUACUGGUUUCCUUGAGUGCGGUUGAGGUGUGUGGAAUUCGUGGUGUAGCGGUGAAAUGCUUAGAUAUCACGAAGAACUCCUAUUGCGAAGGCAGCACACUAAGCCGCUACUGACGUUGAGGCUCGAAAGUGUGGGUAUCAAACAGGAUUAGAUACCCUGGUAGUCCACACGGUAAACGAUGAAUACUCGCUGUUGGCGAUAUACGGUCAGCGGCCAAGCGAAAGCAUUAAGUAUUCCACCUGGGGAGUACGCCGGCAACGGUGAAACUCAAAGGAAUUGACGGGGGCCCGCACAAGCGGAGGAACAUGUGGUUUAAUUCGAUGAUACGCGAGGAACCUUACCCGGGCUUAAAUUGCACUGGACAGGCUCAGAGAUGGGCCCUUCUUCGGACCAGUGCGAAGGUGCUGCAUGGUUGUCGUCAGCUCGUGCCGUGAGGUGUCGGCUUAAGUGCCAUAACGAGCGCAACCCUUGCCUUUAGUUACUAACAGUUUAUGCUGAGGACUCUAAAGGGACUGCCAUCGUAAGAUGUGAGGAAGGUGGGGAUGACGUCAAAUCAGCACGGCCCUU
rnacentral:rRNA from 1 species